rnacentral:rRNA from 1 species
UACGUAGGGUGCGAGCGUUGUCCGGAAUUACUGGACGUAAAGAGCUCGUAGGUGGUUUGUCGCGUUGUUCGUGAAAACUCACAGCUCAACUGUGGGCGUGCGGGCGAUACGGGCAGACUUGAGUACUGCAGGGGAGACUGGAAUUCCUGGUGUAGCGGUGGAAUGCGCAGAUAUCAGGAGGAACACCGGUGGCGAAGGCGGGUCUCUGGGCCGAUACUGACGCUGAGGAGCGAAAGCGUGGGGAGCGAACAGG